AAGUCUCCAAAGUGCAAAGGUAUUAAAUAAAAAAGUAUUAAUGAUAUGAGUGAAGAUUGCAGUUCUCCAUGGAAUGACUUAGUCACUCAGUAGUCUGUGUUUUCCUGAGGAGAGGUAAGA
rnacentral:snoRNA from 1 species